GAUGAACGCUGGCGGCGUGCCUAAUACAUGCAAGUCGAGCGAAUGGAUUAAGAGCUUGCUCUUAUGAAGUUAGCGGCGGACGGGUGAGUAACACGUGGGUAACCUGCCCAUAAGACUGGGAUAACUCCGGGAAACCGGGGCUAAUACCGGAUAACAUUUUGAACCGCAUGGAUCGAAAUUGAAAGGCGGCUUCGGCUGUCACUUAUGGAUGGAACCGCGUCGCAUUAGCUAGUUGGUGAGGUAACGGCUGACCAAGGCAACGAUGCGUAGCCGACCUGAGAGGGUGAUCGGCCACACUGGGACUGAGACACGGCCCAGACUCCUACGGGAGGCAGCAGUAGGGAAUCUUCCGCAAUGGACGAAAGUCUGACGGAGCAACGCCGCGUGAGUGAUGAAGGCUUUCGGGUCGUAAAACUCUGUUGUUAGGGAAGAACAAGUGCUAGUUGAAUAAGCUGGCACCUUGACGGUACCUAACCAGAAAGCCACGGCUAACUACGUGCCAGCAGCCGCAGUAA
rnacentral:rRNA from 1 species